rnacentral:misc_RNA from 1 species
GAUGAAGAACGUAGCGAAAUGCGAUAAGUAAUGUGAAUUGCGGAAUUCAGUGAAUCAUCGAAUCUUUGAACGCACAUUGCGCCCCCUGGUAUUCCGGGGGGCGUGCCUGUUCGAGCGUCAUUUCACCACUCAAGCCUCGCUUGGUAUUGGGCAACGCGGUCCGCCGCGUGCCUCAAAUCGACCGGCUGGGUCUUCUGUCCCCUAAGCGUUGUGGAAACUAUUCGCUAAAGGGUGUUCGGGAGGCUACGCCGUAAAACAACCCCAUUUCUAAGGUUGACCUCGGAUCAGGUAGGGAUACCCGCUGAACUUAAGCAUAUCAAUAAGCGGAGGA